AGAGCGAACGCUGGCGGCAGGCCUAACACAUGCAAGUCGAACGGACUCUUCGGAGUUAGUGGCGGACGGGUGAGUAACACGUGGGAGCGUGCCUUUAGGUUCGGAAUAGCUCCUGGAAACGGGUGGUAAUGCCGAAUGUGCCCUUCGGGGGAAAGAUUUAUCGCCUUUAGAGCGGCCCGCGUCUGAUUAGCUAGUUGGUGAGGUAAAGGCUCACCAAGGCUACGAUCAGUAGCUGGUCUGAGAGGAUGACCAGCCACAUUGAGACUGAGACACGGCCCAAACUCCUACGGGAGGCAGCAGUGGGGAAUCUUGCGCAAUGGGCGAAAGCCUGACGCAGCCAUGCCGCGUGAAUGAUGAAGGUCUUAGGAUUGUAAAAUUCUUCAGUAGGACGAUAAUGACGUACUACAGAAGAAGCCCGCUAACUUCGCGCCAGCAGCCGC
rnacentral:rRNA from 1 species